CCUGGCUUUGUUAUAAGGGCUCAGGGAGGAGCUGGAUCAGUCUCUCUCUAGCUCUGGAGAGAGAAGGACCUGGCUACCUGGGAGAGAAGGGUACCUGAGGUAGACUAGAGAUGGGGAAAGGCAAGAGAUGCUGGGGCGCUCCAGCCUGGUAACUCCCCAGGCUGUAGGCCGUGUGCAAGGCCUAAAGAAGGUGGCAACAGUUCCUCCAUGAGGAUGCCAUGAGGUCUUUGGUCAAGGCCAGCUACCAAAACCCUUCCAGUGUUCUGGGAGGGAGGGAGAGAGACUAUAUAGAGUCCCCUUCACGGUUCAUCUACAGAAGUGCUUUAAGACUAACACGGCUGCUACUCUGAAACCUUACUUCACACAUGUUUGCUAUCUACAUGGAGAGGAGGCCAGUGUUUUCUGGGAUCCCCAUGGAGUACGAAAUCAGUGCGGUAGCAUUUGAAGGAUAGAGGCAUCCUUCGAUACAUCGUGGGCACAUCUUAAAAGAAGAAUUCCUGAACAUACAACACUAAAUUAGGAAGUAUAAAAAACUAGAUCCUUGAACUAUUGCUUUACAGAGCAAGCAUUUGCGAACAUAUAAACCCCAAUUAGUCUUAAUCUGCCUCUGCUCAUUAGAGCCACAUUUGAAUCGUAAAUGGGGUAUGGUUCAAUAUCACGUCUUUGCACACAAAGCAGUAAACCCAGAAUAGAAGAUAAAACCUCAUGGAAAACAGAGAGCACCAACACCAACAAAACUGGGUUUUGUUUGUGUUGAUGAACACCGAUUAGCCCCCACUUCUCUGCUCUGUGACUCUCCAGUCUUAAACAUUAGAUUAAAAAUCUUUUGAAAGGUAGUUUUCUGGCAGCUUCACCUGC